rnacentral:rRNA from 1 species
UACAGAGGGGGCAAGCGUUGUUCGGAAUUACUGGGCGUAAAGGGCGCGUAGGUGGCCCGCUAAGUCGAACGUGAAAUCCCCGGGCUCAACCCGGGAACUGCGUCCGAUACUGGUGGGCUUGAAUCCGGGAGAGGGAUGCGGAAUUCCAGGUGUAGCGGUGAAAUGCGUAGAUAUCUGGAGGAACACCGGUGGCGAAGGCGGCAUCCUGGACCACAACUGACGCUGAGGCGCGAAAGCGUGGGGAGCAAACAGG